GAUGUUGCUGCUUUUGGUCACGCAGGUGCACGCACGCGUCCCUGCUCCUCUGGUGGACAAGGUCGGUUCCGAUCUGGAUGAGCAGCAACUGCUGCAGGUGGACGAGGCACGAUCCCUCAUGGCUCGUCCCUCCUCCUACUCCCCCUGAACGUGGUGAGCUCCACCCUCUCUUCCUACCCCUGCACAUCUAUCUUAUCUAGCCAAUUUGAUUGCAAUUUAUCACAAAGUGCCAAGCAGCAGGGCUCGAUCAUCCGCUAAAAAUCUAUUUGGCAUUUGUGCUUCUCUUAUUGUUAUACCUGAAUGCUUAUUGCCUUCCAGCUCUAUGUUUCAUGUGCCAAUGGCCACUGGUGUUAAUUGUUUGGUCAGUGUGCGCUUUAAUUUUCAUAAAUUGCGAAAACAAUAUAUGUUUACCUAUUUUGGAUUUUGUAUCCUAUCAGCAUAAGGGAUAAUAUUUGUCAUCUGCUCUCAUAUUCUGAUAUACUUCCUAUGUUAGUUUGCACUUCCUCCAGUCAAAGUGUUUAAUGUAUGCUUGGCUGCAUGUUACUUGUAUUGAACGUAGAUGAAUGGUUGCAAGGCGUAGUAGCAGUAGGUCGGUUUAGUCCUAGCCUUGGAUCUAGCACGAUUCAUCCAAAGUAGUUUUUUGUUGUCUUCCUGGUUCUAUUUCUCUGUCAAGAAAGGGACAAACUUUUGUUUCUUUCUGUCCAGGAGGAGCUUGGAUCUAGCUACAUCCUUGGAAGGAUAUAUUUCUGUCCUAUGUUCUUUGGUUGGUAUUUCUUUUUUCCUAUCCUAGAGUGUAAAACACGAAUCUCGAGUCUGUGCUAUGAUGGUUAGUGUGGAUCUUGCCAAUUGUUUUUUGGAUAAACUAAGUGGAUCUGGUCCAAGAUUAAGGAUAAAAUAAUUUUAGAAAUCUCAGGUUUGGUGUCAUUGCAGACUCCACUAUUCAACCUUAGGUUAAUGUUGGUGGGUGGUACCAAAUUAGGUGCACACUUGUGGCAUGUUAUAUGGUCUAGGUAGGUUCUAAGGAAGGGGAUUGUUGGACAGAUGGUUGUGCAAGCUUUCUCUUACAAUUAGGUUUACUUCAUGUGUCUUGUUGUAUGCUGGUGCCCCAUUAUGGCUUCAGGAUGAAUCUUCUUUUCAUAUUGGCCUCAAUUAUAUGCUGGCGCCCCAUUAUGGCUUCAAGAUGUGGAUGCUUGCUUAGGAUCAAAUUUACUUCCAGCUUUGUCUUGGCCUUUUCCUGAAUCUUGUUCAACUGUUCAUUGCAACAUGGGAUAUACCGUGUCUCUCUUCCAAUGCAACCUGCAAUUUUUUUAGGAAAAUUGUUCUAAUACUCUUUUUUUCCAUUUCUAAUACUCUUUUUAGGCCCACAUAUGCUGGUUUCUAAUGCUCAUUUUUUCCUUCUUUUCGUGUUCAAGGAAACAAAUCGAGUGCUGGAGUGAAUCAUCUAAUUCAGGGACGAAACACAAAUCAGAUUGUGCUUAUGUCGCUACCUCCUACGUCUACAGCAGUACAAUUUCAGGUCCGUAUAUAUGGAUCAACCUAUUAUUUGUACCAUGUCACUGAUUCAUACUGGUUGUUAGAAUUUAGUUGCUUGUCAAAUGUUCAUUGUAUUAAGAAGUAUGAUGUAGCGUCUGUAUCCAAUGCAACUUGGCUAUAGCUGGCUCUGCCUGGUGAAAGCAUUCUUCCAUGCUAAGUAGCCAGUCAUUUUGCAUUUAGUUUUGUCAUAAUAUUAAUUCAGGUUCUACAGUCUGCUAGGUCAUGUUUUUUAUUUACUUAAGUUCCCAUCUAAUUGACUGAAUUAGUCACGUAUGGGAGAGCAGUCUGAAAGUUAUAACAGGGUAUGCAAUAAUAGUGUGAUUUAUGUUGCUGGAAGUACUGCCAAUGCUUUUGUCAUUUUUCAGGUUUGCUCUCGGUUCUGUUGGCAAGGGAUCUUUGGUCAUGUAUCAAUUGUAGAAUGGCAAUAGUUGAGCAUCAAGGGACAACCGAAAUUACUAUGAUGAUAUU
rnacentral:lncRNA from 1 species